UACACUGGCAGCUGAUUGGUCCAUUCCUCUACACCAACAGCUGCAGGCUCCAGCUCCAGCUCCCAGCUCCCAGCUAGGGGGUCCCCCUGGGAGGGCUGUUGCUGCUUCCUAGGCUUGUACCAGCUGCCCAUCCAUCCUGACAGGGAGCAACACUAUCCCCCACCUCCAUUAGACCUCGUGCAACCACCUAUCCAGCUUAGUCACCACCACCCCAGUCAUCCAUGCGGCAAACCCAUCUCCGGGACAGGGAGAGAAGAGGCUCAAGAAGCCGCCCAGGGCAGAAAACACCGUACAGGCUGCGUGAGUGGAAAUUCAGAAGUGUCCUCAGCGUUCUCAAGAGGAAUUAGCUGUGUGUAGUGCAAAUGUUAUAUCUGGUGCAGACUGAUCCCAGUUGUUAUGUUUGCCAUUGACGCAUGCCCUAAUGACUGCCUUCAAUGUGUGUUUUACACGUACAGGAGAAUUCGUUUGGAAUGAUAAGCUGUGAUUAACUGCAUGGAGGAUCUCACCAUAUGUCCCAUCCUGUAUGGACUGAGAGGACAUCAGCUAUCUUCAUGGAACUCUUUUCAUCUGGCUCAGAUCCUGUAGAGUGACAACUGCACAUUGCCACAUUCUGCAUGUGUAAUACAGUUUACAAAUGAGAUGAGAAGAGGUGAACUGUCUGAGGUUGUAAUAAUAGGAUGCAAGACAAGAAUGAUGUGCCUGUAAAUUAGUCUUCAGGAAGAGAGAGAGGGAGUCAUGACCCUUGCUCCCAAACAAGUCAAGGAGAACUGGCAAAUGCCUUUCAGAUCAUGUUUUAAAACCUUCUACAUCUGGUGCACAGAAUGAGGCAGCGGCUUUGGUAGUGGAUAGCAAGAGGCAAAGGUCAAACCAGAGGCUGCACAAAUAUUGUGCGCUGGAUUUAUUGUUUUAAUUAAGAGUGUGGCAGUUCAUCAUAAACUGUUUAUGGUGUUUUUGCACAGUGCAGCAUUUUGAAAUCAGCUGUUUUAAUGAAAACAUAAUGUCAUAUCUGUCAAAGUUCUAAAUAUUUUGAAAGUGAAAUAUGGAAACAAGAACUUUAAUUCUGGGUUUACUGGGAUUAGCUCACUGAAUUGUUUUUUAAAUCCCUUAAGAGAGUCAUGUCAUGGGUACUGUAUGGUUCCAUGAUGGGGUAGGAGGCUGGGAAACAGGAGGUACUGUAGCUUGUUAUUUAAUAGCAAAAAUACAUGCUGAGGGCUAAUGUAUUGAAAAACGCUGCUGCUGCUGCUGUUGUUGUUGUUGUUUGUGUUGAAAUGCUAGAUUAAAGAAGCAAUCAGAGAUAAGGUACUUCCUCCAUAAUAAGCAGUAUGUAAACUGUGAGUCCUCCAUUGUGCUAAAAAAUAAAACUGAAUGAGUUCUUGAAACUGGAAAUAAAUAUAUCUGCAGUAGUU